rnacentral:rRNA from 1 species
AUUGAACGCUGGCGGCAGGCCUAACACAUGCAAGUCGGGCGGUAACACAGGGAGCUUGCUCCUGGGUGACGAGCGGCGGACGGGUGAGUAAUGUCUGGGAAACUGCCUGAUGGAGGGGGAUAACUACUGGAAACGGUAGCUAAUACCGCAUAACGUCGCAAGACCAAAGAGGGGGACCUUCGGGCCUCUUGCCAUCAGAUGUGCCCAGAUGGGAUUAGCUAGUAGGUGGGGUAACGGCUCACAUAGGCGACGAUCCCUAGCUGGUCUGAGAGGAUGACCAGCCACACUGGAACUGAGACACGGUCCAGACUCCUACGGGAGGCAGCAGUGGGGAAUAUUGCACAAUGGGCGCAAGCCUGAUGCAGCCAUGCCGCGUGUAUGAAGAAGGCCUUCGGGUUGUAAAGUACUUUCAGCGGGGAGGAAGGUGUUGAGGUUAAUAACCUCAGCAAUUGACGUUACCCGCAGAAGAAGCACCGGCUAACUCCGUGCCAGCAGCCGCGGUAAUACGGAGGGUGCAAGCGUUAAUCGGAAUUACUGGGCGUAAAGCGCACGCAGGCGGUCUGUCAAGUCGGAUGUGAAAUCCCCGGGCUCAACCUGGGAACUGCAUUCGAAACUGGCAGGCUAGAGUCUUGUAGAGGGGGGUAGAAUUCCAGGUGUAGCGGUGAAAUGCGUAGAGAUCUGGAGGAAUACCGGUGGCGAAGGCGGCCCCCUGGACAAAGACUGACGCUCAG